rnacentral:rRNA from 1 species
GACAGAGGGUGCAAACGUUGCUCGGAUUUACUGGGCGUAAAGCGCAUGUAGGCGGGAAUCUAAGUCGGGUGUGAAAUCCCUGGGCUCAACCUAGGAACUGCAUCCGAAACUGGGUUUCUCGAGUGGUGGAGAGGAAAGCGGAAUUCCGGGUGUAGAGGUGAAAUUCGUAGAUAUCCGGAGGAACACCAGUGGCGAAGGCGGCUUUCUGGACACCAACUGACGCUGAGAUGCGAAAGCGUGGGGAGCAAACAGG